rnacentral:rRNA from 1 species
GGGUUGUGAGGUUAAGCGACUAAGCGUACACGGUGGAUGCCCUGGCAGUCAGAGGCGAUGAAGGACGUGCUAAUCUGCGAUAAGCGUCGGUAAGGUGAUAUGAACCGUUAUAACCGGCGAUUUCCGAAUGGGGAAACCCAGUGUGAUUCGUCACACUAUCAUUAACUGAAUCCAUAGGUUAAUGAGGCGAACCGGGGGAACUGAAACAUCUAAGUACCCCGAGGAAAAGAAAUCAACCGAGAUUCCCCCAGUAGCGGCGAGCGAA